rnacentral:rRNA from 1 species
ACUCAAAUGAAUAGACGGGGGCCCGCACAAGCAGUGGAGCAUGUGGUUUAAUUCGACGCGACCCGAAGAACCUUACCAGGUCUUGACAUCCUCUGACGGCAAUAGAGAUAUUGCUUUCCUUCGGGACAGAGAGACAGGUGGUGCAUGGUUGUCGUCAGCUCGUGUCGUGAGAUGUUGGGUUAAGUCCCGCAACGAGCGCAACCCUUGAUGUCGGUUGCCAGCAGGUAGAGCUGGGCACUCCGGCGUGACUGCCGUAGAUAAUACGGAGGAAGGCGGGGAUGACGUCAAAUCAUCAUGCCCUAUAUGACCUGGGCUACACACGUGCUACAAUGGGGUGAACAACGGGAAGCGAGUUGGCGACAACAAGCGGAUCCCUAAAAACACCUCUCAGUUCGGAUUGCAGGCUGCAACUCGCCUGCAUGAAGUCGGAAUUGCUAGUAAUCGCGGAUCAGCAAGCCGCGGUGAAUACGUUCCCGGGCCUUGUACACACCGCCCGU